GUUUUUUGCCACGAGGUCAGGGUUUAGUGUCGUGUUAUCGUGGAGGUACUUGGAAGCAGCAGCAAACAGCAGGAAGUGAAGAGAUGAUAGCCCCUUCAAUGGCGAUGCUCCAGCAAGUGUGCUCUGUGCCCCUUGCACGUGUCGUUAGGCGCCCACGUUCCUUUACCAUCGCAUCUUCUCGCAACCUCUAUACCUCCUCCCCCUCGUCUCCGCACCGUACCUCACACGUGGACCCUCACGCGCUGCUUGGCAUGUCGGAGCCUGAGCUUCAACAGCUCGCCGUCGACUUGGGCCAACAAAGCUAUAGAGGAAAGCAGCUCUACCAUCUAAUAUACCAGCGAAAACUCAGGGAAAUCCAAGAUUUUAGUCAAUUGCCUCAGGCAUUCCGAAAUGAUCUUCAAGAAGCAGGAUGGAAAGUUGGGCGCUCGCCAAUUUAUCGCACUGUUAUUGCAGUUGAUGGCACUGUUAAGUUACUGAUUAAAUUGGAGGACAACAGAUUGAUUGAAACUGUUGGCAUACCAGUUGAAGAUGACAAAGGUUCAAUGCGUCUUACUGCAUGCAUCUCAUCUCAGGUUGGUUGUCCAUUGCGCUGCUCAUUUUGUGCCACCGGAAAAGGCGGGUAUUCAAGAAAUCUUCAAAGGCAUGAAAUUAUUGAGCAGGUUUUGGCUAUUGAGGAAAUCUUCAAACACAGAGUGACAAAUGUAGUCUUCAUGGGAAUGGGUGAACCAAUGCUGAACUUGAAGUCUGUACUUGAAGCUCACCGAUGCUUGAAUAAGGAUGUGCAAAUUGGACAAAGAAUGAUCACGAUUUCCACUGUAGGGGUCCCAAAUACAAUUAAAAAGCUGGCUUCCUAUAAGCUUCAGUCAACAUUGGCCCUCAGCUUACACGCUCCAAACCAGAAACUUAGGGAAACAAUUGUGCCAAGUGCAAAAUCAUACCCCCUAGAUGCAAUUAUGAAAGAUUGCAGGGACUACUUCCUUGAAACCAGUCGACGAGUGUCCUUUGAGUAUGCUCUUUUAGCUGGGGUCAAUGAUAGAGCAGAGCAUGCAAUAGAACUUGCUGAGCUACUCCAUGAGUGGGGACGUGGUUCUCAUGUGAAUCUGAUACCCUUCAAUCCAAUUGAAGGCUCUGAUUAUCAACGACCACAGAAAAAGGCGAUACAAGCAUUUGCAGCUGCUCUGGAAUCUCGUAAAAUAACCGUGAGCAUACGUCAAACGAGAGGCCUGGAUGCAAGUGCAGCUUGCGGUCAGCUGAGAAAUGAGUUCCAGAAAAGUCCUUUACUUGCUGACUCCGACAGCUUACAAUCACAACCAGACAUUGCAGUUGCAUGCUGAUGCCAUAAGGAUUCUGGUUGGCUGCCUCUAUACUAUGUUUUUCUAUAGCCACAUUCCACACACAACUUUUCUUCCCCAUCCACAAGAAUCUUGAUAUUUGGUGAUGAGGCUAGUUGGUUCUUCAACAAUCUUGACAAUGGCAUGAUCCAGAAUUCUCAUAUUCUAUGUGAGCCAACAAAGUCAACAUAGUUUCGUACAUUAUGCGGAAAUUAAGGGGGUGAAAUGUAUAUUUAUCUUUUGAUGAUUUUCUGGCGGUGUCACAGCCUAACUUAAAAUGGAGCACCUAAAUUCUAAUGGUCAACUCACUUUGUGGCAGGGAGAAAGGAUAAAUGGAUCAUUAUCACAGAAUUGGUAGUUUAGCAUAACAGUAACCUGCUUGCAAAUAAUUUUGAAUCUUGAGGCAGAGAUCUCUCUUUAAUUGUAUUAUUCUAUGCAUCAUUGUAAUUUGAUAGGCGACUACAUGACUACAUAUUUUCUAUGUAAUUAUGUACAAUAUGCUAUAAAAUAUUAUUUUUCCAUCA
rnacentral:misc_RNA from 1 species